GGGAUGAGCCCGCGGCCUAUCAGCUUGUUGGUGGGGUAAUGGCUCACCAAGGCGACGACGGGUAGCCGGCCUGAGAGGGCGACCGGCCACACUGGGACUGAGACACGGCCCAGACUCCUACGGGAGGCAGCAGUGGGGAAUAUUGCACAAUGGGCGAAAGCCUGAUGCAGCGACGCCGCGUGAGGGAUGACGGCCUUCGGGUUGUAAACCUCUUCAGCAGGAAGAAGCGAAAGUGACGGUACUGCAGAUGAGG
rnacentral:rRNA from 1 species